AUUGAACGCUGGCGGCAUGCCCUACACAUGCAAGUCGAACGGUAACAGGUCUUCGGAUGCUGACGAGUGGCGAACGGGUGAGUAAUACAUCGGAACGUGCCUAGUAGUGGGGGAUAACUACUCGAAAGAGUGGCUAAUACCGCAUGAGAUCUACGGAUGAAAGCAGGGGAUCGCAAGACCUUGUGCUACUAGAGCGGCCGAUGGCAGAUUAGGUAGUUGGUGGGAUAAAAGCUUACCAAGCCGACGAUCUGUAGCUGGUCUGAGAGGACGAUCAGCCACACUGGACUGAGACACGGCCCAGACUCCUACGGGAGGCAGCAGUGGGGAAUUUUGGACAAUGGGCGCAAGCCUGAUCCAGCAAUGCCGCGUGCAGGAUGAAGGCCUUCGGGUUGUAAACUGCUUUUGUACGGAACGAAAAGCCCUGGGUUAAUACCCUGGGGUCAUGACGGUACCGUAAGAAUAAGCACCGGCUAACUACGUGCCAGCCGCCGCAGUAAUAC
rnacentral:rRNA from 1 species